GAGCGUGCAGCAGGUGCGUGCUUUGUUUUCCGGAAUCAAUAACUCCCGAACGUCCGGGCUGUGGCUACUUGUCCCGAACGCCUCGCUCGCCGUCAGAUCGUGCUGCACGAAUCUGAGGAAAAAGACUUGCCACGUCACGUUUGCAGAUCGUUCGGUCUAUUAGUUUGUCGGCCCGAACGCGUGAGACCAGCUAACCUUAUCCCCUUAUCCACACGACCCCCACUCUCUCCUCACGGACGCCCGACAACAACCUCCUCCGCCAUGCGCCGUCUUCUCCGGCCGCCGCCGGCGAUUUGUCACCACCGGACGGAGAGACCGUCUGAGCCGCGACCGGCCUCGGGCGCCUCCAUGUCCGCUCCUUUGCAGCUCCGCGGAUCAGCAUCGCGCGCCAUCCCCGAUGGCCCUGGAGCCGCCGCAAUGCUGGUCAACGCGCCGGCUGGAGGUGCGCUCCUGAAGGAGGCCGAGCGCUGCGGCGACGCCUGCUCUCCUGCUCUGCCGCGGCGGGCGUCGAGGCCGCCUCCCCUCGUCGAGGUCUUCGCGCGAACCGUCAGGCCUCCGUCGCGCUCCGGGUCAACCUCCUUCUGCAAGCUCCUCGCCGACCGGCUCGAGGUGCCGCCGCGGGAAGAGAGCCGAGCGCCGCCUGCUCGCCCGUGCUGACGUGACCGACAUCGGGGCCGCCUAUCUACACGUGGUUCUCGUGCGCUGCGGCAAGCACAAGGCGCCGCCCUCCGGGUGAAUGCAGCUACCGACGACGACGAGACUGAAGAAACGAAGCAUACAAGAGAAGUAUUCUUUCAGCAAGCGAAGAGCUACUUUUAUUUGAGCUAUGAUGAUGCAAAAAUGAGUCCACAUCCCUACUAUUUUUAGCCUACAGCAACACUACUUUGACUCACUGAUGACGAAAACACCAGUGUUUUGGAUUAUUUCUUACCAUAUAUGUUCAUAAAUGACGGCAAAUUCAUGUGAUUUUGCCAUGGCAACUUUUGUGUAAACAUGAAGUUGGCAUCAUGGCUUAAAAGUCUGUUGAUUUUUGUAUUUUUUUUAUUGUCUAGUUUGAUUGUUGUUGCUUUUUGUACUUGUGCAGCAACAGAGUAAAUUCUCGUCAAUUUUUCGACAUCAACAAAUUGUAGCUACCAUGUUUCGUAAAGUGGAUAGUUGCCAUGGCAAAUUUGCCAUGUUUUUGCUAUGAUUCUUUUUCACACCAUGGUAAAUUGAUAUUCACUCUUUUAUAGAUCGUUUUGCCAUGUAUUUCAGAACUCUAAUUAGAGAUCUCUAAAAUUGCCAUGACAAAUGAUCUAUAAUACAUAUCAUUUUUUCUAAAUUUACCAUGAUUUACUUCGCUUAGUUUGAAUAUGACCAUGGGGAAUUCACUAUGAAUUGCAGAUCGUUUGCCAUGGCAAAUUAUAAUCAAUUGACAUGGCAAUUUCACAAUCUUGUAUAGGUACCAUCUUCUGCUUUUUAGUAGAUAGUUACCAUGGCAAAUAAUUUAGAGAGAAGGAUUUAAGACUAAGCAUGUACCGUGCUAUAUAUUUUUUUCUUAAAUUUGUUGUCUCACUGUAUAAUUUUUCUUAAAUUUUCUUGGAAGAUGGCAAAUAUAGUUAUCGAAUCAUGGCAAAUUUCGUUCUCGGAUCAUGGAAAAUUUAUUGAUUUCUUGCCAUGUCAAAUUUUUAUUUUGGAUCAUGGCGCAAUUUUACUGUUUUCUACCAUGGCAUUUUAUUUAUAGACCAUGGCAAUUAAUCUUAUACUUUUUGCCAUGUAAACUUCAAAAUUUUAGUUAAUUGAACAUGGCAAAUUUAGUUUACGCAUUGUAGCAAAUUUGCUUCCUGUAAGAUGGCAAAUAUAGAUAUCGAAUCAUGGCAAAUUUAGUUUUCGGAUCAUGUUAAAUCCAUUGCUUUCUUGCCAUGGCAACGUUUGAUUUUUAUAAUUGUCCCCUGUAAUUCUUUAAAUUGUCAAAAAUAACACAAAAUGGCAAAUAUUGUCGUGGCAAGUUUUACUAAUUAUUUCACUUUAUUAACAUGGCGAAUUUUGCGUAAAUACCCAUGGCAAUUUCUUAACAUUAAUUGCCAUGCACGUUUUACUAUUUAUUUGCCAUGGCAAACUUACCUAAAUCCCCAUGGCAAUAUUUAACUUUAAUUGCUAUGGCAAGUUUUAUUGUCAUGGCAAGUUUACUAUUUAUUGAAUUUUUAUUGUCAGGGCAAGUUUUACUAUUUAUUUUGCCAUGACUAAUAUACAUUCAGUAAUAUGGCAAAUUUACCUAAAUCCCAAUGGGAAUAUUUAACUUUUAUUUUCAUGGCAAGUUUUACUUUUUAUUUGCCGAUGCCAAAUUGACCCUUAUUAUCAUGAUAAAUUUACCUAAAUUUCCAUGGCAAUUUUUAAGUUUUAUUGCCAUGGCAAGUUUUACUAUUUAUUUGACCUUACUAACAUGGCAAUUUUUAGUUUUUUUGCCAUGUCAAUUAUAUGCAGAUUUUAAUAUGAUUUUGUAUUUUUUCACACACGGCAUUUUUCGCAGGCAUUACAUGUAAAUUUAAGUAAAAAUACCAUUGACAUUUUUGCUA